rnacentral:rRNA from 1 species
UCUAUAACCCUUUGUGAACAUACCUAUAACUGUUGCUUCGGCGGGUAGGGUCUCCGCGACCCUCCCGGCCUCCCGCCUCCGGGCGGGUCGGCGCCCGCCGGAGGAUAACCAAACUCUGAUUUAACGACGUUUCUUCUGAGUGGUACAAGCAAAUAAUCAAAACUUUUAACAACGGAUCUCUUGGUUCUGGCAUCGAUGAAGAACGCAGCGAAAUGCGAUAAGUAAUGUGAAUUGCAGAAUUCAGUGAAUCAUCGAAUCUUUGAACGCACAUUGCGCCCGCCAGCAUUCUGGCGGGCAUGCCUGUUCGAGCGUCAUUUCAACCCUCAAGCUCUGCUUGGUGUUGGGGCCCUACAGCUGAUGUAGGCCCUCAAAGGUAGUGGCGGACCCUCCCGGAGCCUCCUUUGCGUAGUAACUUUACGUCUCGCACUGGGAUCCGGAGGGACUCUUGCCGUAAAACCCCCCAAUUUUCCAAAGGUUGACCUCGGAUCAGGUAGGAAUACC